ACACAUCACAUUCAACUUUUGUUUUGGUCUGUACUCUGUACUAUGUAGAGAUUCUUCUUUUUUAUCUUAGAUUUGAUUCAUUGUUUUAAGACGAAUCAGAUAUGUGAUCUUGUUGUGUUGUGUUCUGUUGUUACUUUGUGUGGUCACCAUUAGCCAACACACACAAAGAUACUUAUUAAAGUAAAUAAACUCGUCCUGUCUCAUAAUCAAUCUCACACUUGAAGCCAAACAAACAAACAAUGGUAUCUUCUUCUCUUUCCUUUCAUUCCAUCGCCCCCAUCUACUCCGGAGAUGCUCUCCGUUCAACCUUCCGCCGCAACCGCCGCCAGUUUUUCUCAACUGGAGUGAGUUGCAGAGGACAGAGUCCUCCAACCAACGAGCCACAGACAACAACAAGUAAAGGAAGAGCUGAACCGGAGAAUGUUCUGCUCAAAAUCGCUUGGUACGGCUCAGAGCUACUCGGAAUCGCCGCCUCCGCUUUCAGAUCUCCGGCGUCUCCUCCUCCUCCUACUACGACUGAGCAAGACUAUGAGAUUCCUGUUGAUUGUUCGGGACGAGCCGUUCGUGUAGCGGUCGUGGACUCGAUCAAACACGACUUCAAGCGGUCGUAUUUCGUCACAGGGGACUUAACGCCGGCGGUGUACGAGGAGAAGUGUGAGUUCGCUGAUCCAGCUGGCUCCUUCAAGGGACUUGCUCGUUUCAAAAGGAACUGCACUAACUUCGGAUCUUUGAUUGAGAAAUCGAACAUGAAGCUAAUGAAAUGGGAGAACUUCGAGGAGAAAGGAGUUGGGCAUUGGAAGUUUAGCUGUGUCAUGUCGUUUCCAUGGAAACCCAUUCUCUCAGCAACUGGUUACACUGAGUAUUACUUCGAUACAGAAUCCGGAAAAAUAUGCAGACAUGUGGAGCAUUGGAAUGUCCCUAAGAUUGCUUUGUUCAAGCAACUACUUAGACCUAGCCGUGGACUAAUGGGGACGACACAAAACUAGCAGUGAAUGAUGAUGAAUGUUGAAGUCACUUUUUUUUGGAUUCCACUUUUAAAAACAGCUUAAGGCAAAGGUUGUGAUAUGAGUUGGUUCACAAGAGGGUUUAGCCAUCUCAUCCAUUAGUUUCAAGCACUGUCUCAAGCUGGUUCUUGUCCUUAAGAAUAUUAAAGAAAGCAUUGAGAGUGUUGUAACACCUCAUAAAUUACACCAACGUUUUGGUUACAUAUCUUAAUAGCUCUACUUGGGUCUGUUGCAUCAAAACGUAGGAUCAAUGUAAACACCAUUUAUACAUAUCUUAACCAUUUGUUACACAUCUCACAAUGGAAUAAGAUUAGUUCAAUCAGUAA